GUAGCUGCUCUAUCAUCAGUUCUUGCUGCUGAAAAGAAGAAAACACCUGAAACCUCUCCUUCCCGCAGUCCUCCCCCAGAAACUAACCUUUCUGCUGAAGGGAAGAGUGAUAAUUCACUUUCAGAAGUGGAGUGGAGGGUUCCGAAGAAGUUGCAGAAGUUAAGGAAACAGAGGAAGUUGCAUCUGUAUCUGAAAGCAUUACGGAGGAUUCAGAGCCAAAACAAGACACGGAGCCGGACGAGAAUGGUAAUGGAAGCAGUGAAAGUACAUUCAGUUAUGAUCAACUGAAGGCUCAUUCUGACAACCCUGUAACUGGAAUUGAUUUUAAACGGAGAGAGGCCUAUCUGUCAGUUUCAGACUGUAUUUGGGAUGAGAAAAGAUGCAUUCUAUAAAUUGCCGAAAUGGAAGCAGGA
rnacentral:misc_RNA from 1 species